rnacentral:rRNA from 1 species
ACUCCUACGGGAGGCAGCAGUGGGGAAUAUUGCACAAUGGGCGCAAGCCUGAUGCAGCCAUGCCGCGUGUGUGAAGAAGGCCUUCGGGUUGUAAAGCACUUUCAGUUGUGAGGAAGGUGGUGUCGUUAAUAGCGGCAUUAUUUGACGUUAGCAACAGAAGAAGCAUCGGCUAACUCCGUGCCAGCAGCCGCGGUAAUACGGAGGGUGCGAGCGUUAAUCGGAAUUACUGGGCGUAAAGCGCAUGCAGGUGGUUUGUUAAGUCAGAUGUGAAAGCCCGGGGCUCAACCUCGGAACUGCAUUUGAAACUGGCAGACUAGAGUACUGUAGAGGGGGUAGAAUUUCAGGUGUAGCGGUGAAAUGCGUAGAGAUCUGAAGGAAUACCGGUGGCGAAGGCGGCCCCCUGGACAGAUACUGACACUCAGAUGCGAAAGCGUGGGGAGCAAACAGGAUUAGAUACCCUGGUAGCGUCGU